rnacentral:misc_RNA from 1 species
AAGACUAUAGACCUGCGGAGUACCUGCGGAAGGAUCAUUACUGAGUUUGAAAUUGUUAAAGAUUUCAUCUCCCACCCUUUGUUUAUAAGACCUGUUGCUUCGGCGAGAUUGAUGAUUUUUAUAAAUCAUCGGUUGAUUGUUAAUUCAAUGAACUUUGCUUGCCGAAGUUUUUUAAUAACUCUUUUUUCUGAAUAUUCGAGUUUUUUAAAAACAAAAAAAAUUUAAAACUUUUAACAACGG